UUACGAUAUCAUGGUUAUUGUUGCUCAUUCAUACAAUCCCUACAAUUGCUUUGUAGUUUAUGUGGGGAUUGUAAGAUGCUCAACCGAGACAUUUGAUAUCAAUUA
rnacentral:pre_miRNA from 2 species